rnacentral:rRNA from 1 species
UGAAGAAUAUUGGGCAAUGGGCGAAAGCCUGACCCAGCAACGCCGCGUGAAGGAAGAAGGUUUUCGGAUUGUAAACUUCUGUCCCAUGGGACGAAAAAAAUGACGGUACCAUGGGAGGAAGCCCCGGCUAACUACGUGCCAGCAGCCGCGGUAACACGUAGGGGGCGAGCGUUGUUCGGAAUCACUGGGCAUAAAGGGCGCGUAGGCGGUCCAUUAAGUCGGAUGUGAAAUACUUCGGCCCAACCGGAGAACUGCAUUUGAUACUGAUGGGCUAGAGUGCAGGAGGGGAGAGUGGAAUUCCUGGUGGAGCGGUGAAAUGCGUAGAUAUCAGGAGGAACGCCGGUGGCGAAAGCGACUCUCUGGCCUGCAUCUGACGCUGAGUGCGCGAAAGCUAGGGGAGCAAACG